rnacentral:rRNA from 1 species
UACGGGGGGAGCAAGCGUUGUUCGGAUUUACUGGGCGUAAAGGGUGCGUAGGUGGUCCGUUAAGUCAGUUGUGAAAUCCCCGGGCUCAACCCGGGAAAUGCUUCUGAUACUGGCGGACUUGAGGCCAGUAGGGGUCACUAGAACUGACGGUGGAGCGGUGAAAUGCGUAGAUAUCGUCAGGAAUGCCGGUGGUGAAGACGGGUGACUGGGCUGGUUCUGACACUGAGGCACGAAAGCGUGGGGAGC